AGCAGCCGCGGUAAUUCCAGCUCCAAUAGCGUAUAUUAAAGUUGUUGCAGUUAAAAAGCUCGUAGUUGAAUUUCGGGGUCAGUAGGCUGGUCGUGCCACAGGUAUGUACUGGUCUCACUGAUUCCUCCUUCCUGAUGAACCGUAAUGCCAUUAAUUUGGUGUUGCGGGGAAUCUGGACUGUUACUUUAGAAAAAUUAGAGUGUUUAAAGCAGGCUCGCGCUUGAAUACAUUAGCAUGGAAUAAUGAAAUAGGACGUUCGAUCCUAUUUUGUUGGUUUCUAGGAUUGACGUAAUGAUUAAUAGGGAUAGUUGGGGGCAUUAGUAUUCAAUUGUCAGAGGUGAAAUUCUUGGAUUUAUUGAAGACUAACUACUGCGAAAGCAUUUGCCAAGGAUGUUUUCAUUAAUCAAGAACGAAAGUUAGGGGAUCGAAGACGAUCAGAUACCGUCGUAG
rnacentral:rRNA from 1 species